rnacentral:rRNA from 1 species
AGUAAUGUCUGGGAAACUGCCUGAUGGAGGGGGAGUAACUACUGGAAACGGUAGCUAAUACCGCAUAACGCCGCAAGACCAAAGAGGGGGACCUUCGGGCCUCUUGCCAUCGGAUGUGCCCAGAUGGGAUUAGCUAGUAGGUGGGGUAACGGCUCACCUAGGCGACGAUCCCUAGCUGGUCUGAGAGGAUGACCAGCCACACUGGAACUGAGACACGGUCCAGACUCCUACGGGAGGCAGCAUG